CGAACAGCGGUGAAGAGGAGCAGUAGCGGGCUUGGCGGACAGCAGAGAGUUGACGGUCGGUGCGAGUCAACCGAAGCCAGCCUGUGAACUCGCCUCGGAGUUGCCGGCGCGAACGGCGCUGCCUACUAACGUCGGCCGUGAAUCUGCGUUAAGGAGCAAAGCGGGUGCGCCAUGGGCGCGCCAAAAAGGGUGGUACCGCGGGAAGCGCGCCUCUCGUCCCUUUG
rnacentral:ncRNA from 1 species